GAAAUGCGAUAAGUAGUGUGAAUUGCAGAAUUCAGUGAAUCAUCGAAUCUUUGAACGCACAUUGCGCCCCUCGGUAUUCCGUGGGGCAUGCCUGUUCGAGCGUCAUCUACACCCUCAAGCUCUGCUUGGUGUUGGGCGUCUGUCCCGCCUCCUUCGCGCGCGGACUCGCCCCAGAUCCAUUGGCGGCGGCCCUUGCCUCCCUCUCGCGCAGCACAUGCGCUUCUCGAGGCGCGGCGGACCGCGUCCAGCAAGCAACCGUCACACCGUCUUUGACCUCGGAUCAGGUAGGGAUACCCGCUGAACUUAAGC
rnacentral:misc_RNA from 1 species